rnacentral:rRNA from 1 species
GACGAACGCUGGCGGCGUGCUUAACACAUGCAAGUCGAACGAAGAGCGAUGGAAGCUUGCUUCUAUCAAUCUUAGUGGCGCACGGGUGAGUAACGCGUAAUCAACCUGCCCUUCAGAGGGGGACAACAGUUGGAAACGACUGCUAAUACCGCAUACGAUCUAAUCUCGGCAUCGAGGAUAGAUGAAAGGUGGUCUCUACAUGUAAGCUUUCACUGAAGGAGGGGAUUGCGUCUGAUUAGCUAGGUGGAGGGGGAACGGCCCACCAAGGCGAUGAUCAGUAGCCGGUCUGGGAGGAGGAACGGCCACAUUUGGACUGGGACACGGCCCAGACUCCUACGGGAGGCAGCAGUGGGGGAUCUUCCGCAAUGGACGAAAGUCUGACGGAGCAACGCCGCGGGAGUGAUGACGGCCUUCGGGUUGUAAAGCUCUGUUAAUCGGGACGAAAGGCCUUCUUGCGAAUAGUGAGAAGGAUUGACGGUACCGGAAUAGAAAGCCACGGCUAACUACGUG